rnacentral:sRNA from 1 species
UAGAAUGGCCAUCAAAGAGAAUGAGAUUCUAAAUGUAUCUGCAUCAAAGGAAAACAUGUCCAAGCUUCCACACAUUGCCCAGCCAAUGUGUCUCAAUCCUACCCGGGAGGGACCAUCUAUAGGAGUGAGGGAAAUUUGUUCUCCUAUCCUAAUCCAUUCUUGUACUCU